AAGAAUUUCGGUAUGGGAUGGGGAUGCGUUCCAUUAGUUAGUUGGCGGGGUAACGGCCCACCAAGACAACGAUGGAUAGGGGUUCUGAGAGGAAGGUCCCCCACAUUGGAACUGAGACACGGUCCAAACUCCUACGGGAGGCAGCAGUGAGGAAUAUUGGUCAAUGGACGAGAGUCUGAACCAGCCAAGUAGCGUGAAGGAUGACUGCCCUAUGGGUUGUAAACUUCUUUUAUAUGGGAAUAAAACGUUCCACGUGUGGAAUUUUGUAUGUACCAUAUGAAUAAGGAUCGGCUAACUCCGUGCCAGCAGCCGCGGUAAUACGGAGGAUCCGAGCGUUAUCCGGAUUUAUUGGGUUUAAAGGGAGCGUAGGUGGAUUGUUAAGUCAGUUGUGAAAGUUUGCGGCUCAACCGUAAAAUUGCAGUUGAAACUGGCAGUCUUGAGUACAGUAGAGGUGGGCGGAAUUCGUGGUGUAGCGGUGAAAUGCUUAGAUAUCACGAAGAACUCCGAUUGCGAAGGCAGCUCACUGGACUGCAACUGACACUGAGGCUCGAAAGUGUGGGUAUCAAACAGGAUUAGAUACCCUGGUAGUCCACACAGUAAACGAUGAAUACUCGCUGUUUGCGAUAUACAGCAAGC
rnacentral:rRNA from 1 species